AAAAAGUUAGUUAAAUUAUAACAUUAAUAUGUCAUGUUAAAAUUAUUAGAAAUAUCUAGUACUUUUUG
rnacentral:tRNA from 1 species